UCUGGCGGCCGUAGCGCGGUGGUCCCACCUGACCCCAUGCCGAACUCAGAAGUGAAACGCCGUAGCGCCGAUGGUAGUGUGGGGUCUCCCCAUG
rnacentral:rRNA from 1 species